UCAACCAGAAGUGGGUAGCUUUCCCUCCCCGCUCCACCCACUCUUGGUAUUGCUGCAGGCGCUGGAAGCGUCGGUUUAAUCUAUCCUUUGGCUCCUCCACUGGGCGGACCCCUGGCAGGCCAGAGCGAAAAGGGUAGCGGAAGGAGGGGGCCCUGGGCCGGGCUGGCGCGCCUUGACUUGUGGGUUAGCGUUCCGGGAACAGUAACACAUGGAUCUGGGUGAAACAUUGGCUUUCUGUGUUUCCUGCGUUUGGUACCUUUGGAGGGCCGGCUGCAGCUGCGGGAGGCCGCGCUCGCUGCCAGCGGUCAAGGCGACCUUGCUCGGAAAACGACUGUUGUACUUUGAGCUAGUGACUCCAGAGGCUUUGCCGCUUUCUAGGCAUUCCUCCAGGAGCUUUCUCCCCCUGGAGGCCUAGCCUGUAAACGCAGUUUGUUUUUGCAGUGUGAUGCUGCCUUAUUCUUGUCUUUGGCGCCAAGAGUGGCAUGCAAUCCCUACCAGUUAAUUAUGGCCUCUCGGAGGAAAAAACAAUAAAGUGCUGUCCUUUAUGUCUACAGUUGGUGCUUCUGAGGAUGCCUACCACAGCAUGGUGUGCCAGGCGGUGCCAUGUCCGUACCUGGGAUCCGAACGGGCGCACCCCGGGCCGCCGAGAAGUGGAACGUGCUAACUUAACCGCUACGCCACCAGCCCAGCCCCAUCUCUGAUGACCUUUUUUGGAUGAGGGCUACCCUGGGAAAAGCAUGACCUCAUGACCUGAAGUGGAGGCCAACCCGGAAGUGGCAGACACUUGGCAUCUGAACACACUCUCCACAGCUGGGCAGCAGAAAUUAGCACUAUCCUGGAUGUGGUGUUUAUCAUUCUAAGGUAAUGUUUAAAUUUUACUACUUCAAAUGUAUAUGUGUGUACAUGUGCCCUUAAACAUUAUAAAGUAUUGUUUAUAUUUUUAAACUUUAAAUGUUUACUUUUAAUAAUUAAAAAUGUAUAUAUGGUAUCAUAGUGGAUGUGUAUUCUCCUGCACCUUGCAUUUUCAUCGUUUUAGAGAUUUAUCUGUGUUGAUAUAGUACUAAUUCACUCAUUUUAACUGCUAUAUAACAUUUAUAAAUAUAUUUUAUAAAUUUUUAUACUGUUUUAUAAAGUUUAAACUGUUAUAUAUUUUUUAAUGUAUCACAAUUUAUCCAUUGUGCUGUUGAACACACAGUCUGUUUCAAUUUUUUUUUUUUUACUAAUUACAGAUACAGAAAUAAACAUUCUUGUGUAUUUCUCUUUGUAUAUGGUAUGAGAAUUUCUCUAGGAUAUAUAAGAUUAGAAUUGCUUAGUCAUAAGAUGUGGGCACCUUUAACUACAAAAUCUCACCAUAUUGCUUUUCAAAGUAGUUGUGCUAACUCAUAUCCCUACCAUGGAUGAGUUUACAUGGCUCUUCGUCACCGUCAUCUAGUGCUGUGAGGCUUUUCCAUUUUUGCCAAUUGGAUGCAUGUGAAAUAGCACUGUACUGUUUUAUGUUGUAUUACACUCGUUACAGAGGUUGAUCUCAUAAAUUUAUUGGUCACUUGGGUUUUGUCUUCUGUGAAUUGCCUACUCAUAUUCCUUGCUCAUUUUUGAGUUGCCUGUUUUUCUUAUUGACUUAUACAACUUAUGUAUAUUUUCUGAAUACUAAUCUUGUGUUGAUUAUAUGUACUGUGAAUAUCUUCUCCCAGUCCGUGGACUUUUUGAUUUUUUUUAUGGGGCCUUUUGGUUAUAUUGGAGCACUCUCUGCCAUAUUAUUUUGUGCUUUGUAUUAACUUUGCUUUUUCUAAGCUAUCUUUCCCCAUCGCACCCUUUCCCUGACUCUAUUUGACUGAUCACGUUUCCCCCCUCUACUGGUUUGGCUGUUAUUCAUUCUAUUUUUAUUCUUUUAGGGUCACCUUUAAAAUAUUUUCUAAAAUUUUAACUUACAUUCAGUAAAAUUCAUUUUUUGGUGUACACUUCCAAGUUUUUACAAAUGCAUAGUAGAACCACCACAAUUAAGAUACAAAGCAUCAUCAGCCCCCAAAAUUCCCUCUUAUUGUCCCUUUGUAGUCAGCCCCUCUCCCUACACCAACCCACGCUAAUCAUUUAUCUGUUUUCACUCUUAGUCUUGCCUUUUGCAUAAUGUGAUGUAAAUGGAAUUAAACCAUAUGCAGCCUUUUAAUUCUGGCUUCUUUCACUUAGCACAAUGCAUUAAAGAUUUAUUCAUGUUGUUGAAUGUAUCAAUAGUUUGUUCCUUUAUAACUGCAGAGUAGUAGUAUUCCAUUGCAGAGACGCACCAAUCACUGUUUAUCUAUUCACCAGUUGAAGGCCAUUUUUGGUUGUUUCAAGUUUUUGGCAACUAUAAAUAAAACUACUACAAACCUU